UAUUAAAGGCAACGCCUGCCCAGUGAACAAUUUAACGGCCGCGGUACCCUAACCGUGCAAAGGUAGCACAAUCACUUGUCUAUUAAUUGUAGACCUGUAUGAAAGGCAAAACGAGGGCCUAUCUGUCUCUUGUAGUAAAUCAAUUAAACUGAUCUCCCAGUCCAAAAGCUGGGAUACCAACAUAAGACCAGAAGACCCUGUGAAGCUUAAACUAAACUAUUAAAUCCUAUAAUAGCUCCUUUCGGUUGGGGCGACCCUGGAAAAAAAAAGAACUUCCAAACACGACCCAGCACAGCUGAUAACUGAACCAAGUUACUCCAGGGAUAACAGCGCUAUCUUCUUCAAGAGCCCAUAUCAAAAAGAAGGUUUACGACCUCGAUGUUGGAUCAGGACAUCCUAAUGGUGCAGCCGCUAUUAAGGGUUCGUUUGUUCAACGAUUAAC
rnacentral:rRNA from 1 species